UGGGGAAUAUUGCACAAUGGGCGCAAGCCUGAUGCAGCCAUGCCGCGUGUAUGAAGAAGGCCUUCGGGUUGUAAAGUACUUUCAGCGAGGAGGAAGGCGGUAAGGUUAAUAACCUUAUCGAUUGACGUUACUCGCAGAAGAAGCACCGGCUAACUCCGUGCCAGCAGCCGCGGUAAUACGGAGGGUGCAAGCGUUAAUCGGAAUUACUGGGCGUAAAGCGCACGCAGGCGGUCUGUCAAGACGGAUGUGAAAUCCCCGGGCUCAACCUGGAAACUGCAUUCGAACAAGGCAGGCUAGAGUCUUGUAGAAGGGGGUAGAAUUAGAGGUGUAGCGGAGAAAUGCGUAGAGAUCUGGAGGAAUACCGGUGGCGAAGGCGGCCCCCUGGACAAAGACUGACGCUCAGGUGCGAAAGCGUGGGGAGCAAACA
rnacentral:rRNA from 1 species